rnacentral:rRNA from 1 species
AGCAGUCGCCACGGUAAUACGGAGGGUGCAAGCGUUAAUCGGAAUUACUGGGCGUAAAGCGCACGCAGGCGGUCUGUCAAGUCGGAUGUGAAAUCCCCGGGCUCAACCUGGGAACUGCAUUCGAAACUGGCAGGCUAGAGUCUUGUAGAGGGGGGUAGAAUUCCAGGUGUAGCGGUGAAAUGCGUAGAGAUCUGGAGGAAUACCGGUGGCGAAGGCGGCCCCCUGGACAAAGACUGACGCUCAGGUGCGAAAGCGUGGGGAGCAAACAGGAUUAGAUACCCGGGUAGUCCCUGUCUCUUAUAC